rnacentral:tRNA from 1 species
GCGGGGGUAGCUCAGUCGGCAGAGCGCAACUUUCCCAAAGUUGAGGUCGCGGGUUCGAGCCCCGUUCCCCGCUCCA